GUCUCUUUGAAUUAAUAAUAAUAAAGAGUUUGGCCUGCUCAGUGAGAUUUUUAACAGCUGCGGUAUUAUAACUGUACUAAGGUAGCAUAAUAAUUUGCCUUAUAAAUUAAGGCUAGAAUGAAUGGUUUAACGAAAAUUAUACUGUCUCUAUUUUAAUUAAUAGAAAUUAAUUUUUAUAGUGAAAAAGCUUAAAUAAUUUAAAGGGACGAGAAGACCCUAUUGAGCUUUAUAUUAGUUAUAAUAAAUAUUAUUUAUUUGGUUAAAUUAAUAUUGUAUUUAUUGUGUUUAAUUUUGGUUGGGGUGAUCAAGGAAUAAAUGGGUAGAAUUUAACUUCCUUAAAGAAAACUGUUUUUAGAAUAAUUAACCGAUAAUAUCGCUUAUAUGAUAAGUUACCAUAGGGAUAACAGCGUAAUUUUUUUGGAGAGUUCAUAUUAAAAAAAGAGAUUGCGACCUCGAUGUUGGAUUAAAAUAACCAUAGGGUGAAGAAGCUAUAUAUGGUAAAUCUGUUCGAUUUAUAAAAUUUU
rnacentral:rRNA from 1 species